UACGGAGGGUGCAAGCGUUGCUCGGAAUUACUGGGCGUAAAGCGCGUGUAGGCGGUUUCGUGUGUCUGAUGUGAAAUCCCCGGGCUCAACCCGGGAAGUGCAUUGGAAACUGCGAGACUAGAGUCCCGGAGAGGAAGGUGGAAUUCCCAGUGUAGCGGUGAAAUGCGUAGAUAUUGGGAGGAACACCAGUGGCGAAGGCGGCUCACUGGACCGGUACUGACGCUGAUGCGCGAAAGCGUGGGGAGCAAACGGG
rnacentral:rRNA from 1 species